UUGUAACAGAUUACUAGCUAUCCGCAGGAGUUGAAACACUCGUUCAUUUCGUAUCGAGUCGCCUGUCGAGCAAGUUUCUAUGGGGUCUAGAAGAGGAAACACCUAGAAUAAUAUAUAAGUUACUGAUCUGUCACGAUAAUGGAAAUCAUCUUCUUAAACAAGAUCCACUCGUUAGGCACUCAUGCAAGGCAGCAGCGAGAGAAAUUUCAUAUUCAUUCGUCACAGUACAAGGGAAAGCUGACACGUAAACGGAUAAAAAGCCUCGAAUGAUAUAUAUUUUGAUAUUUUUCCGUAUUUACCAUAUGUACUUCCGUAGUUACCAUUUCGUACGUUAAUCAGCAGCAACACGGCAUUUCGUCUCGCAAAUAUGAUGUUCAGAUACAUAUACUUUAUCAACACGUAGACAAAUAUGCGAAUAAACAAAUUCCGUCUGCCGUGUGAGAAGAAUUAUGAAAGAAUAAUGAAAAGAUGAGGGAAACAUGAAGAAAAAUUUUUAUCGUUAAGCUGAUUAAAGAAUUGUAACGAAGAUCUAGCGAAAAUAGUUAUAGGCCCUUCUAUUAGUCUUACAGAACUAUAUAAAAGCAAUUGGCACAAUAAUGAAUUCAGAGAUCAAAAAAAUUCAAAAAUCUUUUAUCUUGUCGAGUGUAUAUUGUUUAAAACGAUAUAGAUGAUAUAGAAUUCAUUAUCAUAACUGAUUGGUUGUUGAUUUAUUCUUCUGGGCCAUUCUCUUCUCGAUCUCUCAGAAGUUGGCUCAAAUAACGACUGAAUAAACAAACUGUAUUCCCUUUAAAAGUAUACAAUAAAUUCUAGUAUGAAAUCACA